GUGCGGUGUACCGCAUCAAAAGGAAACAAGUCGAGCGAAAUCCAAACGAGAACAGCGCGAGCUCAGAGUGAGAGGGACAAGAGCGAGAGACCAGCGCGAGCGAGACCAUCUUCUUCAUCGAGCGAGCGUCCUCUUUGUGGUCCUUUUCGUCUCUGUGGUUUCGAUUUCUAGGUUUUCUCCCAAUAUCAUAAGUUUUGAUUUUGAGAAACGACCUUGAGGCUAGUGAGAUCUUUUUUGAAAUCAACUUUUGAGACCAUCAGCUUCUCUGGUGGAUAGAAGUGAUGGCUCCUGUUUUCUCGAGAGCUGCCUGGCGCUGUGUAUGGCAUAUGAUCCAGAAUGACUUGAUUCAUGCAUGGGGUGGAUAUGCAGCUUGGCUA